CUGAAGCUGCCAGAAGUUUUUCCUUUAACUCAUGAAAGACUUGCUGUUGUUGGGAUCCCCAUUCCAAAGGUUCCCGGUCCCCGCCCCCUUUGUGACCUCAUACAAAGGCUUGGCUUAUACUGCAAAGUUUGGGAUCCACAGUCUACAAAACCCCACAGCUCCUGAGAAUUCUCUCGCCUGCUUUCGACCCUUAGGCUCUGGUAGAUUGCAAAUAACCUGCUUUCUUUCUGUUCCCGGGCGGCGUGGGACCCCUGUCGGAUAGUCAAUCCCAAUUAAGGUACCCGCCGUCGGCAGAUUUGAGCUUUCUUCUUGGACACCUAAUACCCACAGUCCUCCAGGAUAACUUCAGGAAGUGGGUAUUAAUUCUCACUGUAUAAGUGAAGACAUUAAGCACCAGAGUUUAAGUAGCUUGAUCCACUGAAAGAGAUUCAACUGUGUGGAACCUAUGCCGCGGAGAAUUGCUUUCUGCCAUUGUUAUUGUCCAGCAGUUGCCGAAUAGCUCUGACCUGAGCAAAGCAGUGAAACGCGGUGCUGUUGAGUGGGUUGCCACUGCACCUUUUUCAACUACUCUAGUCUUGUGGAGAAAACACCCCUUCUAAAUUUUUUCUUCAUUGAAUACUCUCCCUCAGCUCCAGGGUACCAUAUAGAGUUUUCUUGUAUUUUAGAGUUACUGUUUUAUCAAAGUGUACCAGUCUUUUGUAUUACAUUUCUCCUGUCUAAAUCAACUGUGU
rnacentral:lncRNA from 10 species